rnacentral:rRNA from 1 species
CAGUCGCCGCGGUAAUACGAAGGGUGCAAGCGUUACUCGGAAUUACUGGGCGUAAAGCGUGCGUAGGUGGUGGUUUAAGUCCGUUGUGAAAGCCCUGGGCUCAACCUGGGAAUUGCAGUGGAUACUGGGUCACUAGAGUGUGGUAGAGGAUAGUGGAAUUUCCGGUGUAGCAGUGAAAUGCGUAGAGAUCGGAAGGAACAUCUGUGGCGAAGGCGACUAUCUGGGCCAACACUGACACUGAGGCACGAAAGCGUGGGGAGCAAACAGGAUUAGAUACCCGAGUAUCCCUGUCUCUUAUACA